rnacentral:misc_RNA from 1 species
UUUUGAUUAUUUUUUUAGGAUUAAUGGUAACUUAAUUGAAAUUCAAACGAAAGUAACUAAGUUAUAAAUUUUAUUAAAUCUCAUUGUUUAAAUUACUUAAUUUUUAAAAUACAGGAAUUAAGUCGUACAUCUUAUCAAAUUUCAAGAAUUAAAUUAUAGGAUAUCCUAAUUUUAAAUAAAUAUUUUGUUAAUAUAUUUAAAAGUGAUAUUUCAACUCGUUAGAUAAUUACGUAUACAGAGAUGAAUUAAAAUGAAAGCAGCAUGAAAAAGGCAUAUAAUUUGGUUACCU